rnacentral:tRNA from 1 species
AGGGUAAUAGCUCAGUGUAGAGCUCUUGCUUAGCAUGCAUGAGGUCCUGGGUUCAACCCCCAGUACCUCCA